rnacentral:rRNA from 1 species
GAUGAACGCUGGCGGCGUGCCUAAUACAUGCAAGUCGAGCGAACAGACGAGGAGCUUGCUCCUCUGACGUUAGCGGCGGACGGGUGAGUAAAACGUGGAUAACCUACCUAUAAGACUGGGAUAACUUCGGGAAACCGGAGCUAAUACCGGAUAAUAUAUUGAACCGCAUGGUUCAAUAGUGAAAGACGGUUUUGCUGUCACUUAUAGAUGGAUCCGCGCCGCAUUAGCUAGUUGGGAAGGUAACGGCUUACCAAGGCAACGAUGCGUAGCCGACCUGAGAGGGUGAUCGGCCACACUGGAACUGAGACACGGUCCAGACUCCUACGGGAGGCAGCAGUAGGGAAUCGUCCGCAAUGGGCGAAAGGCUGACGUAGCAACGCCGCGUGAGUGAUGAAGGUCUUCGGAUCGUAAAACUCUGUUAUUAGGGAAGAACAAAUGUGUAAGUAACUAUGCACGUCUUGACGGUACCUAAUCAGAAAGCAACGGCUAACUACGUG